ACGGGACACCUGCAUCUGCCAACAAGACUGGAAGCAGAAAGGGACAGAGACGGCGAAGUUUGACGGUCUGGAAAGCAGAGACCAGCAGGGCUGACUGCUUGGGAGCACCAAAUAUCCGGACAGCGCCUCUCGGGAGGUCCGAGAAGAGAACCGCGAUCUGUUUCAGCACCGGGGCUCAGGACAGUUCCCAGCGGGCUCCGUUUCGUCUCCAGAACCCUGGACAGCUCCUCCAGCCUCCCAAAGUGCUAGGAUUACAGGCGUGAGUCACUGCGCCUGGCCCAAGUCCGGAAUUUUCAACAGGACAUGGGUGUUACUGUGCCCAUGUGACAUUUGGGGAACCCAAGGCCCUGAGAAAGGCAGAAAAAUAACCCACGCAGGGACUCUCAGCCCACAAGUGAAGCUAACCGGGAAUGGAAAACAGGGAGGCAGCACAGAGGCAGGAAACUCAGGUGUCAUAGCUUGGCUCAGCCUCAGGGCUUUUGCCUCUGCUGUUCCUGCAGCUUGGAAUGCACUCCCUCCACCUCCAACCAGAGCUCCCCACAACUGACCCUGCCUUCUUCUGCAAGCUCCAUUUCAUCAAGGGAAACGAUCCUUAUUGCCUCACCAUUUCCCACGUGAAGUCUGUAUUGACAUUCUCAUAGACCUGGGAUAUUGUGUCUGCAGCACAUAGUCCAAUUAUUUUCAUGUUAUCUACUGACAGGUCUAUUUGUCUCCCUGUUACACUGUGAGCUCCGUGAGGGCAGAAACAAUGUUAGUAUUUUCACUGCUGUGUCCCCAGCGCCUGGUCCGGGGCCCGGCACACAGCAGGCAUAUAAUAAGCAUGUGUUGAAUCAAUAAAGGCAUCAAAGAAUAAACCAAUACAUCAAUCAAUAA
ensembl:lncRNA MIR7-3HG MIR7-3 host gene